AUGGCCACAUCCUGUUGAAACACCAGUUCUUAUACAAUCACUGAAGUUAAGCAAUGUUGAGACUAGUCAGUACCUAUAUGGGUGAUCGUUUGGGAAUACCAGGUGCU